rnacentral:tRNA from 1 species
AGUCUAUUGGUGUAGAGGUUUAACAUGCCACACUGUCAAUGUGGAGAUGGAGGGUUCAAUUCCCUCAUAGACUGC